AACGCUAAUCGGCGCAGGGUUAGCCGGCCCCUAAGGCGAGGCCGAAAGGCGUAGUCGAUGGGAACCACGUUAAUAUUCGUGGGCCUGGUGGUAGUGACGGAUCUCGUGUGUUGUAUCUCCUUACUGGAUUGGAGGUGCAGCGAAGAGGUUCCAGGAAAUAGCUCCACCGUAUAAACCGUACCCGAAACCGACACAGGCGGACUGGUCGAGAAU
rnacentral:rRNA from 1 species